ACCUGAUAAUUUUACCAUGACCAAGCUUUAAGAGUUCAGUACCACACAAACACUGCCUCGAGAGUCCAUCCGUUGCUUUCAGUUCAACUGAAUUGGGAUUCCUUAAUAUUUUUCUAGUCCGCUAACUAACAAGCUUAUUCUGGUGUUUAGCUUAGGAGAUGGGCAAGAAUGACUGGGGCUUCAGGCCCAGCUGUAGGUGUCCGAGGCUCAAUGACCAAACUCUGGGACUUCUCCUCUAGCUUUGGACAGAAACUGGUGACUCAGGAAUGGGAAUCUUGGAGAGGGGGUGUAUUUGAGAGAACAAGCAUUACACAGGGCUAAUCUCUUUUCUUUUCUUACAGGGUUGGAAGAACAUCGUUCUCAGACCCUGAGAAAUCUGGACUCUUUUAGCAGUGUGCUACCUAAAGGAAUAUAAGGAGUUGCUACUUGCAGCUUCCUUGCAAUUAAUUUUUUGGUACUUGUACCUCUCUUUCUGUGGUUUUAGAUCAAGAAACGCCAUGAGCACAACUCAACGAAAGCGCCGUGGAAGAGCAGUUAAUUCUAGGCAAGCUCGGAAACGAAACAGGUUGAUGGCUUCAACCACAGGAACGGCUUCAGAAGCAGAGCCAGCAGAACUUGAAGAAAGUGCUGGUGAGGAAGUAGUAGAUCUCACAUGUGAAUCUUCUGAUCCUGUAGUCGUUGAUCCAACUCACAAUGAUUCUGUUGUGACGUGGUGAUAAACGCAUUUCAAGUAUGACAUUCUCUAAGGAUGUAGACCCCUCGUUCACUAAGUGUUAGUCUAAGGAUCAGAGGAAGUCUGGUAUACUCGUCAUGGCGCAGUCGUGAAUGUCGAUGAAGAAUCCUGCGGAGAAGUACGAAGCUUGAGGAAUCUGGAAGGCCGAAUGCUAAGGCAUGGAAGAAUUCUGUUGAAAUGCGUAUUUGACCUCUAUUUGAAGACGCGUACAGUAAAAGGCAGCGGAUGUCAUGAAUGCAGAAGUAAAACUUAAUCCUUACAAGGUUUGGGUUUGGGUCAUAGUUUACCGAGGCCUUAGGUAUUCAAAAAGUCAUCGUCUGGGCUUGUCUUCUGGCAUCUCAGUAAGUAGCCUGACUUAAAGGGUUAAAACGCGGCUUUGAUUUGCCACUUUAGACAGAGUUCCCGUUCAACCCCAAAUGGGCCUAUGAAUGCGUCAACAUCUAGGAGUAUCACUUCCCGAUAGUGGCAGAGUAAUCUAAAAUAGCUUGCUGCUCCAGAACUUGGGGAGAAUACAUACCAGUGAUGGCUACUGUAACAUAAGGAGAUGCACUUUCAAGCUGAAGCUAUGAUAGCUGUAUCAAAGAUACAGGCGAAUGACUUAAAUAAAAAGCAAAGGAGGUAACAGUUAGUCUGUGACUUCAGAAAUAUGAAGUGUUUAGCUGCAAUGUCAGUUGAAGGUACUCCUGUCGGAGAGAUGCCAAGCGCAACUGUAGCUGGCCGUGGUACAAACUAGUUCUGGUUUUGGCUGGGAUAGAGUUAAUUUUCUUUCUAGUAGCUGGUAUAGUGCUAUGUUUUGGGUUCACUGUGAGAAGAAUGUUGAUAACACACUGACGUUUUCAGUUGUUGCUAAGUAGUGUUUAGACUAAUGUCAGGGAUUUUUCAGCUUCUGAUGCCCAGCCAGCGAGAAGGCUGGAGGGGCACAAGAAGUUGGGAGGGGACACAGCCAGGGCAGCUGACCCCAGCUGGCCAAAGGGGUAUUCCAUACCAUGUGACAUCAUGCCCAGUAUAUAAACUGGGGGGAGUGGGGCUGGGAGGGAUUGCUGCUUGGGAACUAACUGGUCAUCGGUUGGUGGGUGGUGAGCAAUUGCACUGUGCGUCACCUGUAUAUUCUAAUCCUUUUAGUAUUGCUAUUGUCAUUUUAUUAGUGUUAUCGUUACUAGUUUCUUCCUUUCUGUUCUAUUCAACUGUUCUUAUCCCUCGAGUUUUACUUCCCCCCCCCCCCCAUUCUC